UACGUAGGGAGCAAGCGUUGUCCGGAAUCAUUGGGCGUAAAGCGCGCGUAGGUGGCCCAGUAAGUCCGUUCUGAAAGUCACAGGCUCAACCUGUGAAAGCGGAUGGAUACUGCUGGGCUAGAGUCCGGAAGAGGCGAGUGGAAUUCCCGGUGUAGCGGUGAAAUGCGCAGAUAUCGGGAGGAACACCUAUGGCGAAGGCAGCUCGCUGGGACGUUACUGACGCUGAGACGCGAAAGCGUGGGGAGCAAACAGG
rnacentral:rRNA from 1 species